GACGAACGCUGGCGGCGUGCCUAAUACAUGCAAGUAGAACGCUGAAGGAGGAGCUUGCUUCUCUGGAUGAGUUGCGAACGGGUGAGUAACGCGUAGGUAACCUGCCUGGUAGCGGGGGAUAACUAUUGGAAACGAUAGCUAAUACCGCAUAAGAGUAGAUGUUGCAUGACAUUUGCUUAAAAGGUGCAAUUGCAUCACUACCAGAUGGACCUGCGUUGUAUUAGCUAGUUGGUGAGGUAACGGCUCACCAAGGCGACGAUACAUAGCCGGCCUGAGAGGGUGAUCGGCCACACUGGGACUGAGACACGGCCCAGACUCCUACGGGAGGCAGCAGUAGGGAAUCUUCGGCAAUGGACGGAAGUCUGACCGAGCAACGCCGCGUGAGUGAAGAAGGUUUUCGGAUCGUAAAGCUCUGUUGUAAGAGAAGAACGAGUGUGAGAGUGGAAAGUUCACACUGUGACGGUAUCUUACCAGAAAGGGACGGCUAACUACGUGCCAGCAGCCGCGGUAAUACGUAGGUCCCGAGCGUUGUCCGGAUUUAUUGGGCGUAAAGCGAGCGCAGGCGGUUAGAUAAGUCUGAAGUUAAAGGCUGUGGCUUAACCAUAGUACGCUUUGGAAACUGUUUAACUUGAGUGCAAGAGGGGAGAGUGGAAUUCCAUGUGUAGCGGUGAAAUGCGUAGAUAUAUGGAGGAACACCGGUGGCGAAAGCGGCUCUCUGGCUUGUAACUGACGCUGAGGCUCGAAAGCGUGGGGAGCAAACAGG
rnacentral:rRNA from 1 species